rnacentral:tRNA from 1 species
GCCUGGGUGGCUCAGUCGGUUGAGCAUCUGACUUCAGCUCAGGUCAUGAUCUCGUGGUUUGUGAGUUCGAGCCCCACAUCGGAUU